UAGGAUCAUUGCACACGCCGGCGCGGACCCGUUGGGGGAGAGAGGUGACGUUCCGGUUUCGCGUGCUUCCGUUCCGCGGUGCAAGGAAAUUCCCACCUUCGUCGCGUGCGGUCGUAGGCGGGCCGGGUGGAUGACCCCCCCCGACCCCGUUAUCGUGGCGAGAUGUCCUUCGGUGGGCAGGGUAAGGGCUUCCUGGGAUCUUGGCGCUCCUAGCUGUCGGCGUGGGGAGCGCUUCGAUCCCCGCUAGAAAAGGGCGCUCUUGCUGUGCCGUCUAGCCACGAUGGCGGGGAAGCAUCUCCGUUUCACGCGCUGCGACUACAUCCCCUUUCUCAUGUGAUGGGGCACCGGUCGGAUGGGUCGAGUCUGAACGAUGGCGACGCCUUGCCCUUAUGCAGCGCCGUCCGAGGAUAUAGACCCCGCCGAUCAACGUCCCUUUGCUGUGGGGAGAGGAACGAGUCGUGCGUGAUUAGAAUCGGGUUAGCUAUGCCCGUUCCCGAUGAGCGCAUCGCGGGUCGCAUGGCCGGUCUCCUCACGGGGCACGGUCGCCUUUCGCUCGAUGCGGCAUGAUUCGGUGCGAGCAGUUCUCAACUCGGUGCGGCGUUGACUUCCAGGCCCGUGGAUUGGCAGAAGCCGCGUUCGGCGAAAGGGAAGGCGUGAAGCCAACGUUCUUCAUACGAAGGCGAUGGUGAUGCGAGGGGCCCUUCCGUCGGACCUUCUUCUCCCCGAUCCGGAUCUGAGGCCGAUGUCGCACUUCGAGGGAGUUGGUCGUUCGACGUUCGUCUGCCGGUGCCCUCCGUGCGCGUUGGUGCAAUAAGGUAGCGAGAAGGAUGGGCUGUGGGUGCUCACCACCCUGACCCCCGGUCCUCCUCCUCGUCACCCGAAAAGCCACCGUCGGAGGCAUUCUGCGGACGAUUCGUGGUGCGACCCGCUCAAACCACGCUGCUCAUUCUCUCGCCGUCAGCCUCCGUCGGAGUACCUACCCCCGUGCCAUCGAAGGUCGAAGCGAUCGUCGAUCCCGGGCUCGGUCUCCUUCCAAGGCACAAUGGCGACGAGAAGAUGGGCAUGCCACAACGCCGCAUCGCGACAUCCGUCCGAUCGGCGCGCGCCGUGGAGAGUCUUCAAGUCCUCUCGUCAGGGGGAGCACUCGCGAUCUUCGGACGCGGGUCGGGGUGCCCUGGCAAGAGGUUCGAAAGGCCUUCACGUCACGCGUCGAGGACAACGUCGCGAACCAGGCGGGGACCUCCCCAUACCCUUUGAUGCCCUCGAUGCUCGAGGGACAGUUGCUGCCGGCUCCACGGGGCCGUGCAUCGCUGCCCUGCAGAGUUAUCGUCGGCAGAAGAGGGUUUUGGGGGCCCCCAGGUCCAAAUCCCUUCCGCCCAAUGCCAGUCCCGUCCCACGGGGCUGCAUCGGGUGGUUCCCCAACAAAAAAACAUAAAAGAAAAACCAAGUCUGUCGGGCGGACGCAGGUGCCUUGCGCAUCGUGGACGCCAGACGAUCAAACUAAUACGACUCUCGGCAACGGAUAUCUCGGCUCUCGCCACGAUGAAGAACGUAGCGAAAUGCGAUACUUGAUGUGAAUUGCAGAAUCCCGUGAAUCAUCGAGUCUUUGAACGCAAGUUGCGCCCGAGGCCUCGGCCGAGGGCACGUCCGCUUGGGCGACGCAGACCAAUCACACGCCUCCCCCCCACGUCGUGCCGGCGGGAGAGCGGAUAUGGCCGUCCGGGCCCUCGAGGUGCGGUCGGCUGAAAUGCGCACGCUGGGCCGUCUCCUUCUGUCCGACGAGCGGUGGCUCCCUUCGGAGUCGGCGUCUGGUCGGGUUGGAGGAUCGUGCAGCUCCGGCGCUGAAGAACUUUGCAAACCUUAAGCGUCCCCAAGUCGGGCGAGAUUACCCGCUGAGCUUA
rnacentral:rRNA from 1 species